UAAUACGGAGGUGGCGAGCGUUACUCGGAAUCAUUGGGUGUAAAGGGCAAGUAGGCGGUUUGUUAAGUGAGGGGUGAAAUCUUCCGACUCAAUCGGGAAACUGCCUUUCAAACUGACAGACUUGAGGGUGGAAGAGGAAAAUGGAAUUCGCGGUGUAAGGGUGAAAUCUGUAGAUAUCGCGAAGAACACCAGCGGCGAAGGCGAUCUUCUGGUCCACUUCUGACGCUAAAUUGCGAAAGCUAGGGGAGCAAACAGAAUUAGAUACUCUGGUAGUCCUAGCUGUAAACGAUGAGCACUAGGUGUUGGCCCGUAAGGGUCAGUGCCGCAGCUAACGCAUUAAGUGCUCCACCUGGGGACUACGGCCGCAAGGUUA
rnacentral:rRNA from 1 species